rnacentral:rRNA from 1 species
CGANACCNGGACGUAUAAGCUAGNNUAUNUAUAUUAUUCUAAGCAAAGCAAAGUAGUNUUUUAAUUAAGCUACUUAAGAUUCGCUACGCGGACACAACAAAUUAAUAUUGACAAUCCAUAAAAAAAAUAACUUAUAACGGUGACACAAAAUCGGAGGCCACGACUGUUUACUAAAAACACAACACAGUGCAAUCAUUAAUAUGAUAGUAUACUGUGUGAAAUUUGCCCGAUGCCAUUAAUAUAAGAGCGAUCAUGGUUUUCUGUGAUUAAUCGAAAAUCUGGUUAAUAGCGGUCUUAACUAUGAGGAUCCUAAGGUAGCAAAAUAAAUUGGCCUUUAAAUGAGGUCCGGUAUCAAUAAUGUAACGAUGGUCUCACUGUCUCUACAACUUGCUCAGUGAAAUUGAAUUACGCGUGCAGAUG